GACGAACGCUGGCGGCGCGCUUAACACAUGCAAGUCGAACGGAAAGGCCUGCUUUCCCUUGUGGAUUGCGGGUACUCGAGUGGCGAACGGGUGAGUAACACGUGAGCGAUCUGCCCCCAACUUGGGUAUAAGCCUGGGAAACUGGGUCUAAUUCCCGAUAGGACUGCAGGGUGGUGCCUGUGGUGGAAAACGAUUUUCUAGUGGUUGGGGAUGAGCUCGCGGCCUAUCAGCUUGUUGGUGGGGUAAUGGCCUACCAAGGCGGCGACGGGUAGCCGGCCUGGGAGCGUGGACGGCGACACUGGGACUGGGAUACGGCCCAGACUCCUACGGGAGGCAGCAGUGGGGACUAUUGCACAAUGGGCGGAAGCCUGAUGCAGCGACGCCGCGUGGGGGAUGACGGCCUUCGGGUUGUAAGCUCCUUUCGACCGCGAGGAAGCCACCUGGUUGGAAGGGUGGUGACGGUAGUGGUAGAAGAAGCACCGGCUAACUACGUG
rnacentral:rRNA from 1 species